rnacentral:rRNA from 1 species
UACGUAGGGUGCGGGCGUUAAUCGGAAUUACUGGGCGUAAAGCGUGCGCAGGCGGCCUCUUAAGUCAGAUGUGAAAUCCCCGGGCUUAACCUGGGAACUGCGUUUGAAACUGGGAGGCUAGAGUGUGGAAGAGGGGGGUGGAAUUCCAGGUGUAGCAGUGAAAUGCGUAGAGAUCUGGAGGAACACCGAUGGCGAAGGCAGCCCCCUGGGCUGACACUGACGCUCAUGCACGAAAGCGUGGGGAGCAAAC